GGGUAAUAUUAUCUGAUCAUGCUUAACAAAUAACCAUAUGUGCAAAUACUUUUAAAUUAUGCAUAAUUUUGCAAUUACCGGUUAUGUUUUGUAUAUUCACCUAAAUGACUCUUAUUUCUUUCUAUAUGUAUUAAAAGAGUGUUGCACAAAAAAAAUGUAUUAUAAGAACAUAUCCAACGGUCUAGAACUUUACACAAGAUGCUUAACAAUAUAAAAUAAUAUUUUUAAUAAGGAGAUCACUAAUAUAAUGACAUGUUUUCAUACGGUCUUUGCAAAGUGUGUUUUUAGAAAUAUGAUUUUUUUUUUCCACUUUUCUCUCCUUUUCUGUUAUUUUUUUUAUUUUUAAAUAGUUUAGGAACUUUGGUAACAUCUCCCAGUUGGAGAUGGCCUACGCGUCUUGGGAAAAAAAGAACUUAAAAUCAUAACGAAGCGAAAACACGACCAUAUCUUUUCUGAAAACUAAACGAAAUCGAGAUUUCGAUGGAGACAUCACACAUCACAUGAGAGACUAUUGCAAGGACAUGUGUAAUUUACACAAGGAAAAACUCUAUUAAAUAAAUGUUGGUUGUUG
rnacentral:lncRNA from 1 species